rnacentral:rRNA from 1 species
UACAGAGGGUGCGAGCGUUGUCCGGAAUCACUGGGCGUAAAGGGCGCGUAGGCGGCCUGAUAAGUAGGGGGUGAAAUCCUGUGGCUUAACUGCAGGGCUGCCUCCUAGACUGUUAGGCUCGAGCACGGUAGAGGCAGAUGGAAUUCCCGGUGUAGCGGUGGAAUGCGUAGAGAUCGGGAAGAACAUCGGUGGCGAAGGCGGUCUGCUGGGCCGUUGCUGGACGCUGAGCGCGACAGCGUGGGGAGCAAACAGG